rnacentral:rRNA from 1 species
CAGUCGCCGCGGUAAUCCGUAGGUGGCAAGCGUUGUCCGGAAUUAUUGGGCGUAAAGGGCUCGCAGGCGGUUUCUUAAGUCUGAUGUGAAAGCCCCCGGCUCAACCGGGGAGGGUCAUUGGAAACUGGGAAACUUGAGUGCAGAAGAGGAGAGUGGAAUUCCACGUGUAGCGGUGAAAUGCGUAGAGAUGUGGAGGAACACCAGUGGCGAAGGCGACUCUCUGGUCUGUAACUGACGCUGAGGAGCGAAAGCGUGGGGAGCGAACAGGAUUAGAUACCCCUGUAGUCCCUGUCUCUUAUAC